UACGUAGGGACCAAGCGUUGUUCGGAUUUACUGGGCGUAAAGGGCGCGUAGGCGGCAAUUCAAGUCAUCUGUGAAAUCUCCGGGCUUAACUCGGAACGGUCAGAUGAUACUGCUUUGCUAGAGUACAGAAGGGGCAAUCGGAAUUCUUGGUGUAGCGGUGAAAUGCGUAGAUAUCAAGAGGAACACCUGAGGUGAAGACGGGUUGCUGGGCUGACACUGACGCUGAGGCGCGAAAGCCAGGGGAGCAAACGGG
rnacentral:rRNA from 1 species